rnacentral:rRNA from 2 species
UUGACAUCUGACCUCAAAUCAGGUAGGACUACCCGCUGAACUUAAGCAUAUCAAUAAGCGGAGGA